rfam:Asian citrus Psyllid, Diaphorina citri - Florida Strain, whole genome shotgun sequence.
ACCUUGGUGGUGUAGUGGUAAACACGCUCGCCUGGUAAUCAGGAGGGCGUGGGUUCAAUCCCAGCCAAGGCA